CAAACCUCAUCUUGAAUUAUAACUCCCACAAUUUCCACAUUUUGUGGGAGGAACCUGGUGGGAAGUAAUUGAAUCAUGGGGGCAGGUCUUUCCCAUGCUGUUCUCAUGAUAGUGAAUAAGUCUCAUGAGGUAUGGUGCUUUUAAAAACGGGAGUUUCCCUGCACAAACUCUCUCUCUCUUUGCCUGCUGCCAUCCAUGUAGACGUGACUUGCUCCUCCUUGCCUUCAGCCAUGAUUGUGAGACCUUGCCAGCCACUUGGAACAGAAUGUUAUGAGGAAUGAAAUGAGAAUUAUAUCUAUCAAGAACUCGACAUAGAGUCAGAGUUUAGAGCAAUUGGACGAAGUAUAUUUUUGUGAGCAAAUUUACCUUUCUCUCUGAAUUCUCCAAAAUUCAGAAACCGAUAUGUAAUGACUUAAGAUACCAACUCCACAUUCUGUGGUAAGAGAUGAAGAUCCAGGAAAUGUAUGGACACCUAUAGCCUGAAGAAUAUUGUCAGAAAAAAACACUGGGAUCUGGAAGCGAAAAGGAAACAUAGAAAACGAGACAGGAAGGUGAAGAAAGUUGAAGAUAAACUUUCUUUUUCACAAUGUUUUUAUGGACAAGUUCAGCCCAUAAAUCAAAAAUUACCUUUAUGGAUGAAAUAUUAGUUAAGUCAAGAUCAUCUUUUUCAUUUCCUACAUGCAGGUUGAAUCUCAUUUAUGGAGUGAGAUGUCAAAUAACAACAAAAAAUGCACUUAAUUUGCAUAAAGAUGCUUGUAAGGUAACAUUGCUCCACACUUUGCUUUAUUCACAUCAUUAGAGGAAAUAUCUUAUUCCUCUAGCUGUUUCUGGCCAUGGCUCAAGGAAUUAAAAACUUCCAUUCAUUCCUUCAGACAGUACAGUUAACAAGAGGAUAACUUUUUUUAUUAUCUCUGUCCUUCUCCCUCAGGAAGCAGAGAAUUAUCAGAUUGGUGAGAGAAAGGAAAUAAAGGUCUGAACAUGUGUCUCAAGUCACCUCUUUUGGGAGCACUCUGUUCUCAGUUUAUUUUAAUUCUGUUUCUCAAUUUAAUGAGUUUACUAGAGCAGGGUCCACUAUUACCCUGUGGAGAUCCUUAAUGAUACAUGGAUAUGUUUAAUUCUGGGAAUAAAGUAGUUAAACUGGCUAGUGAUUAUGCCACAUUGUUAGAGUCAUCUUUGUCAAUAAGAAAGUUGUUCAUAUUUAUGACAUCUGUAUCCAUUUCUUCAGAAGUGUGACUAUUAUUCAUAUAUCCCCAAUACACACAAAAUAUAUAGUUUUAACUAAAUUUUUAAUCUGUUACAUAUUUUUCUAGGUUACUAGCUAGAGACAUCCUGGUUGUUUCCAAUUUGUUGUAAACUGGAAAUUUGAUGCUAAACAAGUAGUGUUAUGACAAGCCUUCUUAUUCAUAACUUGACAUGCUUUUGCCAGUAUAUUUUAGAUGAAAUUUUGAGAUUAUGGUGGAGUCAAAUCAUAUGAACACUUUAAAUUUUGCUCCGUUAUUACCACAUUCCUGUGCAAAAGUGACACCAAUUUACAAUGCCAUAUUGUAUAGACGUGUUUCAUGGUACCUUAAAACAAUUACAAUGUUAAUAACAAAGAUAAGUAAUCACAGAGCACUAUGUCAGAUAUAAUACUAAUUUAAAAAGUUUGAAAUAUAAUGACAAUUAACAAAAUGUGACUAGGAGGCUCAAAGUGAGCACAUGCUGUUGGUAAAAUGAUGCUAACAGACUUGCUUAAUGUAGGGUUGCCACAAACAGAAGUAAAAAGUGCUUAUUUGCCGACAACCUUGCCAAAUAUUGACUCUAUAAAAUGGUUUAAAAUUAUUUAUAUUACAGAUACUUUGCUUUGCUAUUUCUAAUUCUCUUAUUUUGUAAACAGUGUUAUUUUAGCCACAUAUGUAUUUCUUUCGCUCUGGAUUUCUCAUUUCAUUUUAAUUUUGUGUGUAUGUCCUUGAUGGAUUCUUUGAAUUUUUGUUUUCAUUGCAUCUUUCUGUAUAAUUAUUCCUGGGAUAUUGUGUCAUUUUUAAAAAUUGCAUUUCGUAGGAUGGAUUCCUAAUACUUUCUUUGCAUGUGCUUUUAUGUUAUUUUAUUUCCUUGUCUUAUUACUAAAAAGUGAUUUUAUACUUGCCAUGAUUUUCAGGUUUCCCAGCUUAAGAUGGACAGUUCUUACACUUUGAUGUAGCAUGGGCAAAUUUGUCUCUACUUUUUCACAUCAAGCUAUAGUUUAAGCAUUGAGUUUUGAAAUGUGCCCACUUUUUCCCUAGCCUGAGUGUGUAGAGAAUAAGCAGAUGAGCUCAAUUGGUGUGCAAUUUAGGUAAAAGACCUGGACUCUUUCUCUUGCCUAAAAUUUUAUUAAGUAUCUAAUCCCAUAGCUUGCUCUCUUUCCAGGAGGCAGUUUUACUGCCGCCAGGGAAAUAGCCUUGCUUUCAAAUCUCUUCCUUAAUUCAGCGCAGAGCCACCAAGGCUUUGCUUGUAUCAAUGAGCCAUCUCAUGUACCUUCAUCCCCCAUUUCACCAGUCUUUUCCUGGCACUUUCUCCCUCUAUUCCUCACUCUAAGACUGAGUGGGGAAUCAAUAUUUGGCUGUAAAGGAGUAUAUGGUGUCUUACCUUGUGUGCUGAAACAAUGUAUUUACUCAAAGUGUUAUGGAUUUUCUUUUUUCUCUACAUUAUGCCAAGACAUAAAUUCUGAGAGUGUUUAUGAUGGUGCCUCUUUUCCCCUCUGCUUUCUUUCCAAGUUAGAGACAUCAAAAUAAUAAGCCUUAACCAUUUUCCUGUUUUUAAAAGAAAUAGUUAAUUUUUAUGGGAAUUAUUAGGUGUCUCCCGGGCUACUCAUGUAAAUCCUCAUUUUAUCUGUUUUUAAAUUGAGUUAUUCAUGAGAUGCUUUCUGCAUUUUGUUUUUUAGGAAAUUUUAGGAAACAAAGAUAAAUGUCAUAUGGUCUUUCAAAUGUCAUAUGGUCUCUCAAAUAUCAUAUGGUCUCACAUCCCCUCCAAACUAUUUUAAAUAUGGCCUGACUUUGGGAAUGAAGGCUUUACUUGGACAUGGAUAUGACUGUAGGCAUUUUCCUUUAUAUUCCUUUAUAACUUACUGUUAUGCAUCUACUAGCAGCUGUUAAGGUCACUCCAAAACUGACAUUCUCUCCCCAUGUUUGCUUCCACUAAAACCCAUCUGGUGAUGGAACUGUGCAUACCUUCAUCAAGUAUUUUGAAAACAAAACAAAACAAAAUAAGCAAAAACAAAGUAAACAAAAGACAGAUAUCUGAAUCAGACAGAAUUAGUUUUGGAUCCCAGUCUGUCACCAGUUACUUGUUUAAAAUGGAGCAGGUUACUUAACAACUCUGAGAAAUAUUUACUUAAAACACUCAAGUAUAAUAUGUAUUUUGCAGACAUUUUGUGAUAAGUAAAUGAGGUAUGUGUGCAUGUGUGGGCUUGUGUAUAAAAUAAACUCUCUUGAUUGGCCUAUAUAACUGUCUUUUUCAUUCAGGAUGAAUGGUGGGUAACUUUUUUACUCACUCAAGCUACAUCGUAUUCUAUUCAGAUUAAUCUAAUUUCUUAUCUGAAAUAGUUAAAAUAUGUGAUAUACUUUGACAAAUAUCAAGGUAAUAAACAUUUGAAAAAGGACACAUUUUUCUCUUCCUUAUUUCCUUAAGCCAAUUCAUUCUUCUACUAUAUUUUAUUUUACAUAAACGUUACUUUAAUUUUAUAUAUGCACUAUGCAAUCUAAAAAGUACAAUUGCCUGUGAUGUCCAUAUACUUUACCUUUCUUAAGAGAGGUACAUUCGUUUAAUUUAUUCUUAUAAUCUAGUUGAUAUGAGUAAAUCUUUUAAAUAACUAGGGGCGAAUUUUGCUCCAAUCCACCUAUAUGAAAAUAUUUAUCAUUUUUAAAAAGGCAAUUCUCUCAGCUUAGACAAAAUAAAACCCAUCUUUACAAAAGAUACAAAAAAAAAUUCGUUGGAUGUGGUGGCAUGUGCCUGUGGUCCCAGCUACUCAGAAGGCUGAGUGGAGACGAGAAGAUCACUUGCACCCACAUGGGUUGAGGCUCCAGUGAGCCAAAUUCUUGCCUCUGCACUACAGCCUGGGUGACAGUGAGAUCUGCAGAAAGAUGAGAUGCUCUUCCAAGCAAGUAAUAGAUCUUUGGGUUGCAGAUAUUGGCAGAACAUUGGCAUAUUCUGGGACCUCAAGCAUUUGAUACCCAAGAAAAUAUAAUUUUAAUGUAUGCUUUCUAAUGUCUCUGCGGAUAUCACCAUGAGGUGCUAACUUUUUAUAUCAGAUAUUAUAACUUUAUUAUUGUAUUAUACCAAGUUGACAUUAUUGCUAUAUUUUCUUUUAUUGAUUUCAAUACUAUAAUUAUAUGUUUGCAUCCAGUAAGAAUAAAUAUGGGA
rnacentral:lncRNA from 10 species